AAGCAGAAGACGGCAUACGAGAUGUGACUGGAGUUCAGACGUGUGCUCUUCCGAUCUCUCCACCCAGACUCAUCCAUCGGUACAUCAAUAGAGAGUUUCUGUUGGUGCUGAUAUUUUAACAACCGACUCAGAACUGAAGCGGACAAGGGGAAUCCGGCUGUUUAAUAAAAACAUAGCUUUGUGAUGGCCUCAAAAGGUGUUGACACAAAGUGAUUUCUGCCCAGUGCUUUGAAUGUGAAUAUGAAGUAAUUUAUAGAAGCUCAGGUAAACGGCGGGAGUAACUAUGACUCUCUUAAGGUAGCCAAAUGCCUCGUCAUCUAAUUAGUGACGCGCAUGAAUGGAUUAAUGAGAUUCCCACUGUCCCUAUCUACCAUCUAGCGAACCCAUAGCCAAGGGAACGAGCUUGGAAUAAUCAGCGGGGAAAGAAGACCCUGUUGAGCUUGACUCUAGUCCGACUUUGUGAAAUGACUUUCGAGAUAUAGCCUAAGUGGGAGCUAACGCGCCGCUGUAAAACCACUGCUCGCUUAGCCAUUUUACUUACUCCAUGAAGAAGUGGCCGAUUUUUUCGGUUCUUAGAUUUAAGCCCUGACUCGUAUCAGGGCAAGCUUUGUGGAGGACACAGUCAGGUGGGGAGUUUGACUGGGGCGGUACAUCUGUUAAAGCGUAACGCAGGUGUCCUACGGUGAGCUCAAAGAGAACAGAAAUCUCUUGUAGACCAAAAGGGGAAAAGCUCACUUGAUUUUGAUUUUCAGUACUAAUACAAACCGCGAAAGCGUGGCCUAUCGAUCCUUUAACUUUACAAGUUUUAAGCUAGAGGUGUCAGAAAAGUUACCACAGGGAUAACUGGCUUGUGGCAGCCAAGCGCCCAUAGCGACGUUGCUUUUUGAUCCUUCGAUGUCGGCUCUUCCUAUCAUUGUGAUGUACAAGUCACAACGUGUUGGAUUGUUCACCCGUUAAUAGGGAACGUGAGCUGGGUUUAGACCGUCGUGAGACAGGUUAGUUUUACCCUGCUGAUGAAUCGAUGUUGCGACAGUAAUCUUACUUAGUACGAGAGGAACCGUUAGAUCAGAUAAUUGGUUAAUACGGUUAGCUGAAAAGCUAAUGCCGUGAAGCUACCAUCUGUUGGAUUAUGACUGAAAGCCUCUAAGUCAGAAACCAUGCUGGAAAGCAACGUCCAAUCAAUAAUAAAUGAAGAAGAAUAAGGGAAACCUUUAGUUCAGUAUGGGGACGGUCAAACUCGAAAGAGUAUAGCCAAACCCAGAAUAAAUUUUAAUUAUUAUUGU
rnacentral:rRNA from 1 species